UACGGAGGGUGCAAGCGUUAAUCGGAAUUACUGGGCGUAAAGCGCACGCAGGCGGUUUAUUAAGUCAGAGGUGAAAGCCCCGGGCUUAACCUGGGAAUUGCAUCUGAAACUGGUUAGCUAGAGUCUGGUAGAGGGGGGUGGAAUUCCAUGUGUAGCGGUGAAAUGCGUAGAGAUUGGGAGGAAUACCGGUGGCGAAGGCGGCCCCCUGGACCAAUACUGACGCUCAGGUGCGAAAGCGUGGGGAGCAAACAGG
rnacentral:rRNA from 1 species